rnacentral:lncRNA from 1 species
CGACUUGAUAGUGUGGUUGGAGCUAGUUGGUGAAGGCUGCAGGGCUCCCAUGCUGAAGUAAAAUUGAGGACUGGGACCCAGAGAAGUGUCUUCCUGCCACUACUGCCUUGCAGAGUUCCUCCAGCGCCCUCUAUUGACAAAGCCUAUUAUUGUGACAACUGGUAAAGGAGGAAUGUCUAGAGGGUCCAGCUCCAGUUUCAUAAAGCCCAACAGAGAAAGAUAAAACUUAAAUGGAAAGUAAGACAACAGAAAUGGACAUUUUGGAAGGACUGUUGAUGGAAUAUGGUUUUAUUCUGGGUUAAGAGAGAUAAAAAACCAGAGAGGACUGAGCACAUGAAUUGGAAAGUGAACUGCUUUGAGUAAGAACAUCUGUGUUUGGCAGUUUU